rfam:Ruminococcus albus 8 contig00012, whole genome shotgun sequence.
UGAGCAUGCCAUACGGUAGCGGCAGCGGUCAUACGCUGAUGAGGAAAGUCCGAGCAUCAACGAGCAGGAUAGCUGAUAACGUCAGCCGAGGGUGACCUCCGAGCUAGUGCAACAGAGAUAUACCGCCGCAGAGAUGCGGUAAGGGUGGAAAGGCGGGGUAAGAGCCCACCGGAGCGGCAGAGAUGCCGCUGCCAUGUAAACCUUAUCCGAUGCAACACCAAUGGCAGCCGAAAGGUCAAUGCGCUCGUCAGACCCCAGGUUGUAGGUGGCUUGAGCUGUGGGGCGACCCACAGCCUAGAUAGAUUACCGUACAAGACAAAACUCGGCUUACAGACAGGCUCACGCU